rnacentral:rRNA from 1 species
AUGGAGUUCUCCCGCCGCGGCCCAGCCACCGACGACCCUCCGCCGCACGGGGAGGCAAUGCUGGUGAUGAGGGAUGCUUUGCUGUGGCAGCUCCAGAAGGACCGCCUUCGCCAGGAGAUCAUCAUGGCCGAGCUGUGCAAGAUUGAGGGCGCCAUGGCCCUGCGCGCUGUGUCCGGUCACCACAGCACGCCGAUGCCCCAUGACAGCAUGCCGCAGCACAAAGGACCCGUCUUCAGCUGGGAACACGACGUCGGCGUGGGUGAGGAAAAUGAUGUGAAGCUACCAAGCAACUAUGGAAGGCAGAGUGCAGAACCCAGAUUUUGGAACCCCGUCGCAGAAGAUCGCGCGGAAAAAUGCUGGAACCCGUGCAAAUGCAGGGUUAAUUCGGGUGAACAUAACUCAGCAUUUGAUGAACAUAAACUGCAGGAUUCCAGUGAGAAUGUUCCUCCAAAUAAAGCAUCGCCUGCGGAGAAGUGGGAACUGACAGGAAUAACCAUACCAGUUAAGAAGCCGAAGCCACCCAUGAGCCCCAGAAAAAGAAAGAAGCCACCCAUGAGAUGGACUUGCCCGGUGUGCCAGGUACAGGCAAAGUCUGCGCAUAAGCAUUGUGCUGGGAAGAAGCACCAGUCAAAUAUAGCAACAUUGGAAUCAAACAUUAAGGCCAUCAGUUAUCAGAAGCCACCUUUAGCAGGUUGCAGCAUUUGUCAAGUUAUGUGUGGCACCGAAUCAGAUCUUGAGAUCCACAUGAAAGGUAAAAGGCACUUAAAGAAGAUUCAAGCUCUAUUCGAAGAAAGCAAUAACAACUCAAUCAAUUCUGAGUCUCUGAAAGCAAACUUGAACACAGACAGCAGGAUGCUACAUGUGGAGAAAAUGAACUGUGGCCUAGACUUGGAGAACCAUCUCAGAGAUGAAAGACACCAACUGAAUGUUCGGACACUUUGCGAAACAGUCAACCAAGAGGAGAACAGUCCACCAGAAAUUGUCAAGGACCAAACACCAUCCUCAGAAUGGGAUUGUGUUAAGUGUCAGGCCAAAUGUAACUCUGAUGUCCAUUUUGAGAAUCACUGCAUAAGCAGAAAGCAUCAACAGAGGACCCAGGUGAUACUUAGCAAAGACGAUAUCACGAAAACAGGCAGGACCCAUGUGAUACUCAGUGAAGGCGAUGUCACGAAAAUGGGCAAUCUCCACAUGGAAGCAUCAUGCAAAGAAGGCAGUAACAAUGAUAUGGCAAGUAACAUUGCGCCACAGGAAGCAAAAUCGCAUGAGAGCAAUGUGCCAGAGCAUGCAGAGAAACCACCUUCAGUACAGAGUUGCAACAUUUGCCAAGGUAUCUGUAACUGCGCACCAGAUUUUGAUAUGCCGCAACAUGUGGAGGAGACGAGUUGCAAAUUAAGCUGGAAGAGCUACCUCAGACCCAGAGACGAGAGUCUCCAACUGAUGGAUGAUUGGGCCCUUCGCGAAAAAAUUAACCAAGAUAAAAGCAAUCCACCAGAAAUGUCCAAGGACCAAAUAUCAUCCUCAGAAUGGGAUUGCGCUACAUGCCAGGCCAAAUGUAACUCUGACCCUCAAACCGAGCAUCAGUGUAAAAGCGGAAAGCAUCAACAGAAGAUCGAUGUGACACUCCAUGAAGGUGAUAUUGCCGAAGUUAGCAGUCUCAAUGCAGCCCCAUGCAAAGAAGACAAUAACAGCCAUAUGGACGUUGCGCCAUGGAAAGCAAAAUCGGAUGAGUGCAUUGUGUCGCAGCAUGUAGAGAAGCCACCUUCAGUAUGGAGUUGCAGCGAUUGCCAAGUUAUCUGUGCCCGUGAAUCAGAUUUUGAGGUCCACCUGAAGCGUGAAAGGCACUUGAUGAAGAUUGGAGCCCUGCUUGAAGAAAGCAAGAACAUGGCAAUAGCCGAGUCACAGAAAGCAAACUUGUACCCGGACAGCAUGCCGCAGCAUGUGGAGAAAAUGAAUUGUAAAUUAGACUUGGAGAACAACCUCAGAGAUGAGGGACACCAACUAAAUAUUCGCUCCCCUUGCAAAGAAAGCAACCAAAUGAAAAACAAUCCUCCAGAAAUUGCCAACGACCAAGAACCACCCUCAGAAUGGGAUUGUGCUAUGUGUCAGGAAAAAUGUAACUCUGAAUCUCAGAUUGAGCAUCAUUGUGAAAGCAGAAGGAAUCAACAGAAGACCGACGUGAUACUCCGCGAAGGCGAUAUUGCGAUAGUGAACAGUCUCCACAUCGCAGCCUCAUGCAAGGAAGGCGAUAACAACAGCACGGGCAUUACACCACCGGAAGCAAAAUCAGACGAGAACAAUGUGCAGCAGCAUGCAGAGAAGCCACCUCCGGCAUGGGAUUGCAGCGAUUGCCAAGUUACGUGUAACCGCGAAUCAGAUUUGGUGUUCCACCUGAACGGUAAAAGGCACUUAAAGAAGUUUCGGGCCCUACUCGAAGAAAGCAAGAAUAAGGCAAUGAAUUCUGAGUCACAGACAGCAAACUUGAACCAGGACAGUGUGCCGCAGCAUGCAGAUAAAACAAAUUGCAAACCAAACUGGGAGAGCUACAUUAGACUCAGAGACGAGAAACACCAACUCAAUGUUCAGGCCCUUGGCGAAGCAAUCAACCAAGACAAAAACAGUCCGGCAAAAAAGGACCAGAUACUGUCCUCGGAAUGGGACUGCGCGAUGUGCCAGGCCAAAUGUAACUCUAAAGCUCAACUUGAGCAUCACUGCACAGGCAGAAAGCAUCAGCAGAAGACCCAGGUUGUACAUGGCGGAGGUGAUAUUGCAGAAGUAAGCAGUAGCAACGAUAUAGCGACGAACGUUGUGUCACGGGACGCAAAAUCGCAUGAAAAAAAUGUGCCACGGCAUGCAGAGAAGUCACCUUUAGUAGGUUGCAGCAUUUGCCAAGUUAUCUGUGGCCGCGAGUCAGAUCUAGAGAUCCACCUGAAGGCUAAAAGGCACUUAAAGAAGAUUCGAGCUCUAUUCGAAGAAAGCAAGAAGGCAAUCAAUUCAGAGUCUCUGAAAGCAAACUUGAACCGGGACAGCAGGCCGCCACAUGUGGAGAAAAUGAACUGUGACCUAGACUCGGAGAACCACCUUAGAGAUGAAAGACACCAACUGAAUGUUCGGACCCUUUGUGAAACAAUCAACCAAGAGGAAAGCAGUCCACCAGAAAUUGUCAAGGACCAAACACCAUCCAGAGAAUGGGACUGUGCUAUGUGCCAAGCCAAAUGUAACUCUAAAGCUCAUUUUGAGAAUCACUGCAUAAGCAGAAAACAUCUACAGAGGACCCAGGUGAUACUCAGCGAAGGCGAUAUCACGAAAAUGGGCAAUCUCCACAUGGAAGCAUCAUGCAGAGGCAGUAACACCGAUAUGGCAAGUAACGUUGCGUCACAGGAAGAAAAAUCGCAUGAGAGCAAUGUGCCAGAGCAUGAGUCACCUUCAGUAAAGAGUUGCAGCAUUUGCCAAGGUAUCUGUAACUGCGAAUCAGAUUUGGAUAUCCUCCUGAUGAGUAAAAGGAUCCGAGCUGUCGCAGAAGAAUGCAAGAACACGGCAAUGGGUUCUGAGUCACAGAAAGCAAUGUUGAAUCCAAACGACGUGCCACAACAUUUAGAGGAAACGAGCUGCGAAUUAAACUGGGAGAGCUACCCUAGACUCGGAGAUGAGAGACUCCAGCCGAUGGAUGAUCAGGCCCUUUUUCGAAGAAUUAACCAAGAUGAAAACAAUCCACCGGAAAUUACCAAGGAUCAAAUACCAUCCUCAGAAUGGGAUUGUGCUACAUGCCAGGCCAAAUGUAACUCCAAGGCUCAAUUUGAGAAUCACUGCAUAAGCAGAAAGCACCAAAGGAAGGCCCAGGUGAUGCUUGCCAGAGGCGAUUUGUCAUGA